CCUUAUGUAGGACUCAAUACUAAAACAUUGACCUCUUAAUACACUUUUAAAUGAGUCCCACACCACAGUUUUAGAUAACUCUCCAUUAUCAUUUAUUCUAUAAUAUUCUUUUAUCUCCUCCUGAAGCUUCAAUUUAUAUUCAUCUUUUUCUGUUACCACCGAAUUAUAUCUCCAAAUUCUUUGACUAAUCUCAUUACUCAAUCCCAAGGUUGCAAUCAGAGGACUGUGGUCUGACAAAAAUAUUGGUUUCCUUUCUACCUUCUUUAUUUGGGCUUUGCUUGCUUUAUUUAGUAAGAUAUAAUCUAUACAGCUAAAUUUAUUGUGUCUUGCUGAAUAAAAAGUAUCCCUAAUACUUUGAUUUGCGUGUGCAUCCACCAUAUUAAGCUUAUUUACAUUUAUUGCUUUUUUAUUUUUUUUAGUUAAGUCCAAAUUGAAAUCGCCUGCCCAAAUCAAUGUCCCUUCCGCAUAAUUAUCCAGCUUCUUUUUAGUAUUCAAUAUAUACUGUUUUGUGUUUCUGUUCGGUGCAUAUAUCACAGCUAAUGUUAUUUUAACCUGAUUUAUCUUGCCUUUCACAAAAACUGUUCUUCCUUCCCUAUCUCUUUGAACAUCAAGCUCCUGAAAUGGAACAUUUUCAUUGAUUAGAAUUGCUACCCCUCGUGAGUUCCCUGUCCCUCGAGAUUCAUAAAUUCUAUUCCAUGUUUUAUCUUUAAUCAAUUUAUCCCUCCCCCUCUUUUUAUGAGUUUCCGAUAACAUUAUCACAUUUAUCCUACAUUCCUUUGCCAUUUUCAACAUCCUAUAAAUCUUAAGAUCUGCCAUUCCAUUUAUAUUCAGUGCCAAUAUAGUUAAAUCACCCAUUUGUUUUGUAUAAUUCCAUUUUUAUCUCUCCCCCUUGUCUCUUCAGUUUCUUUUCUUCUCCUCUCCCCCUUUUUGCCCCCCACCCUGGAUCCCCAUUGUGCCCCUUUCCCCUCAGAGUCCAGUCCUUUCCCUUCUCCCAUCAGAGAAGGACUCGAAAGAGUUCUAUUCUCUUCCCUUCCCAGACUCCACUUGGCGGCUGCGUUGCCCUUCGCCAGUUCCCACACCUGCAAAUUAUUUUAACCCAGUUUAUCAAAGUGGUUUUUUACAUCUUGGAUCUUGUUUCCAUUCUCCUUAUUUCCUCUUUCUGUUUUCUAGUCUCCUCUUGCAUCUCCAUAAAUUUACCUUCAUACUGUUGCACCUUUGACUCCAUUGAUCCCAGCCGGGUGUUAAUCAUUUCAACUUGUUCUUUUAAUUCAUCAUUCCCCUUCUUUAAGCUAUCAGAGCUUAUCUUUAGUUCAUUCAAUGUUUGUAAUAUUUGGUCCAGCUUCCGCCCCCAUUCCACUCCCUCCGCCAUUAUGGCACUCACGUUCAGUUCUUUCCUUCACCCGGUCUUCUGAUUUAUUUUCUGAGGUUUCAAGUUUCAGACGCUCAAACUGCGAUCUGCUUUGCUUCCUCUUUUUUCACGACCGGGUCCAGGUUGGAGAGAGAGAUUUAUGAUCUUCCUGGGCUUUAAAAAUAAGCUUUAUUUCUUUUGCAGUUAGGGAGCUCUCUUAGGCACGUCUAUCUUAUCUGACGCAUGCGCAGCAUCCCCCAUAGUGGUUGUAGUUUUACAAGAUCUUUAAGCCUUAUCUGUCAAAAAAUGUUGGUGUCUUACAAACCUGUAAAUUCUAGUAUUCCACAGUAUUGAGCCAUGACUGUAAAAGCAGUGUC
ensembl:lncRNA